AGCGAACGCUGGCGGCAGGCCUAACACAUGCAAGUCGAACGAACUCUUCGGAGUUAGUGGCGGACGGGUGAGUAACACGUGGGAACGUGCCUUUAGGUUCGGAAUAACUCAGGGAAACUUGUGCUAAUACCGAAUGUGCCCUUCGGGGGAAAGAUUUAUCGACUUUCGAGCGGCCCGCGUCUGAUUAGCUAGUUGGUGAGGUAAAGGCUCACCAAGGCGACGAUCAGUAGCUGGUCUGUGAGGAUGAUCAGCCACAUUGGGACUGAGACACGGCCCAAACUCCUACGGGAGGCAGCAGUGGGGAAUCGUGCGAAAUGGGCGAAAGCCUGACGCAGCCAGGCCGCGUGAAUGAUGAAGGUCUUAGGAUUGUAAAAUUCUUUCACCGGGGACGAUAAUGACGGUACCCGGAGAAGAAGCCCCGGCUAACUUCGUG
rnacentral:rRNA from 1 species